rnacentral:rRNA from 1 species
UACGGGGGGGGCAAGCGUUGUUCGGAAUUACUGGGCGUAAAGGGCUCGUAGGCGGCCAACUAAGUCGGAUGUGAAAUCCCCAGGCUCAACCUGGGAACUGCAUCCGAUACUGGAUGGCUUGAAUUCGGGAGAGGGAUGCAGAAUUCCAGGUGUAGCGGUGAAAUGCGUAGAUAUCUGGAGGAAUACCGGUGGCGAAGGCGGCAUCCUGGACCGACAUUGACGCUGAGGAGCGAAAGCGUGGGUAGCAAACAGG